rnacentral:rRNA from 1 species
GGGUUGUAGCUGGCCAUCUUUCUAUAGCCGUCUCUUUAUAUCAAUAAGAU